UACGGGAGGCAGCAGUGGGGAAUAUUGGACAAUGGGCGAAAGCCUGAUCCAGCAAUGCCGCGUGAGCGAUGAAGGCCUUAGGGUUGUAAAGCUCUUUUACCAGGGAUGAUAAUGACAGUACCUGGAGAAUAAGCUCCGGCUAACUCCGUGCCAGCAGCCGCGGUAAU
rnacentral:rRNA from 1 species